UAAGGAAUAUUGGACAAUGGCCGCAAGGCUGAUCCAGCCAUCCAGCGUGCAGGAAGAAGGCCCUAUGGGUUGUAAACUGCUUUUAUCAGGGAAGAAACCUGUGGAUUUACUCCGCAGCUGACGGUACCCGAAGAAUAAGCACCGGCUAACUCCGUGCCAGCAGCCGCGGUAAUACGGAGGGUGCGAGCGUUAUCCGGAAUUACUGGGUUUAAAGGGUGCGUAGGCGGCUAUGUAAGUCAGGAGUGAAAGUUUGCGGCUCAACCGUAAAAUUGCUUUUGAUACUGCAUGGCUGGAAUUAGGAUGAGGUCAGCGGAAUGUGGCAUGUAGCGGUGAAAUGCAUAGAUAUGCCAUAGAACACCAAUUGCGAAGGCAGCUGGCUAGACCUGGAUUGACGCUGAGGCACGAAAGCGUGGGGAGCGAACAGGAUUAGAUACCCUGGUAGUCCACGCCU
rnacentral:rRNA from 1 species